AACGAACGCUGGCGGCAUGCCUAACACAUGCAAGUCGAACGAGACCUUCGGGUCUAGUGGCGCACGGGUGCGUAACGCGUGGGAACCUGCCCUUAGGUUCGGAAUAACUCCCCGAAAGGGGUGCUAAUACCGGAUAAUGUCUUCGGACCAAAGAUUUAUCGCCUUUGGAUGGUCCCGCGUUGGAUUAGCUAGUUGGUAGGGUAAAAGCCUACCAAGGCGACGAUCCAUAGCUGGUCUGAGAGGAUGAUCAGCCACACUGGGACUGAGACACGGCCCAGACUCCUACGGGAGGCAGCAGUGGGGAAUAUUGGACAAUGGGCGAAAGCCUGAUCCAGCAAUGCCGCGUGAGUGAUGAAGGCCUUAGGGUUGUAAAGCUCUUUUACACGGGAUGAUAAUGACAGUACCGGGAGAAUAAGCUCCGGCUAACUCCGUG
rnacentral:rRNA from 1 species